rnacentral:pre_miRNA from 1 species
ACGUAUUCGUUGGAGCAUUUUUACAAACAAAAUGUAUAAAUGCACUAUCGGAUAUGACA